rnacentral:tRNA from 1 species
GCCGCAUUGGUCAAGAGGUUAAGACGUAGCCCUCUCACGGCUGAAUCUCGGGUUCGAUUCCCGGAUGCGGUACCA